rnacentral:rRNA from 1 species
GUCCACGCCGUAAACGAUGGAUACUAGCUGUUGGGUGCAAACUCAGUGGCUAAGCGAAAGUGAUAAGUAUCCCACCUGGGGAGUACGUUCGCAAGAAUGAAACUCAAAAGGAAUUGACGGGGGCCCGCACAAGCGGUGGAGCAUGUGGUUUAAUUCGAUGAUACGCGAGGAACCUUACCAAGGCUUAAAUGUAGUUUGACAGAUUUGGAAACAGAUUUUUCUCGGACAAAUUACAAGGUGCUGCAUGGUUGUCGU